rnacentral:rRNA from 1 species
CCUACGGGAGGCAGCAGUGAGGAAUAUUGGUCAAUGGGCGCGAGCCUGAACCAGCCAAGCCGCGUGAAGGAUGACUGCCCUACGUGUUGUAAACUUCUUUUAUAAGAGAAUAAAACGAGGCACGUGUGCCUUUUUGCAUGUACUUUAUGAAUAAGGAUCGGCUAACUCCGUGCCAGCAGCCGCGGUAAUACGGAGGAUCCGAGCGUUAUCCGGAUUUAUUGGGUUUAAAGGGAGCGUAGAUGGGUUGUUAAGUCAGUUGUGAAAGUUUGCGGCUCAACCGUAAAAUUGCAAGUGAUACUGGCAGUCGUGAGUACAGUUGAGGUAGGCGGAAUUCGUGGUGUAGCGGUGAAAUGCUUAGAUAUCACGAAGAACUCCGAUUGCGAAGGCAGCUUACUAAACUGCCACUGACAUUGAUGCUCGAAAGUGUGGGUAGCAAACAGGAUUAGAUACCCGAGUAGUC